UUACGACCAUAUCAUGUUCAAACACCGUUUCUUGUUACGCUCACCGAAGUUAAGCAACGUCGAGCUUGUCAAUACGUAGAUGGGUGACCGCUUGGGAAUACCGGGUGUUAU